GACGAACGCUGGCGGCGUGCUUAACACAUGCAAGUCGAACGGAAAGGCCCUGCUUGCAGGGUGCUCGAGUGGCGAACGGGUGAGUAACACGUGGGUGAUCUGCCCCUUAUUUUGGGAUAAGCCUGGGAAACUGGGUCUAAUACUGGAUAGGACCAUGCUGUAGGUGGUGUGGUGGAAAGAUUAGUUUCGGUAAGGGAUGAGCUCGCGGCCUAUCAGCUUGUUGGUGGGGUAAUGGCCUACCAAGGCGUCGACGGGUAGCCGGCCUGAGAGGGUGGACGGCCACAUUGGGACUGAGAUACGGCCCAGACUCCUACGGGAGGCAGCAGUGGGGAAUAUUGCACAAUGGGCGCAAGCCUGAUGCAGCGACGCCGCGUGGGGGAUGACGGCCUUCGGGUUGUAAACUCCUUUCAGCCAUGACGAAGCCCUUGUGGUGACGGUAGUGGUAGAAGAGGCACCGGCUAACUACGU
rnacentral:rRNA from 1 species